rnacentral:rRNA from 1 species
UAGGGAAUCUUCGGCAAUGGACGAAAGUCUGACCGAGCAACGCCGCGUGAGUGAAGAAGGUUUUCGGAUCGUAAAACUCUGUUGUUAGAGAAGAACGUUGCAUAGAGUGGAAAAUUAUGCAAGUGACGGUAUCUAACCAGAAAGGGACGGCUAACUACGUGCCAGCAGCCGCGGUAAUACGUAGGUCCCGAGCGUUGUCCGGAUUUAUUGGGCGUAAAGCGAGCGCAGGUGGUUUAAUAAGUCUGAUGUAAAAGGCAGUGGCUCAACCAUUGUGUGCAUUGGAAACUGUUAGACUUGAGUGCAGUAGAGGAGAGUGGAAUUCCAUGUGUAGCGGUGAAGUGCGUAGAUAUAUGGAGGAACACCGGUGGCGAAAGCGGCUCUCUGGACUGUCACUGACACUGAGGCUCGAAAGCGUGGGUAGCAAACAGGAUUAGAUACCCUGGUAGUCCACGCCGUAAACGAUGAGUGCUAGUUGUUUGGGGCCUAUCCAGCCCUAA